rnacentral:rRNA from 1 species
UACAGAGGGUGCAAGCGUUAAUCGGAAUUACUGGGCGUAAAGCGCGCGCAGGCGGUCCUUUAAGUCUGAUGUGAAAUCCCACGGCUCAACCGUGGAAGGUCAUUGGAAACUGGGGGACUUGAGUACAGAAGAGGAAAGCGGAAUUCCAAGUGUAGCGGUGAAAUGCGUAGAGAUUUGGAGGAACACCAGUGGCGAAGGCGGCUUUCUGGUCUGUAACUGACGCUGAGGCGCGAAAGCGUGGGGAGCAAACAGG